rnacentral:lncRNA from 1 species
CAAUUCAAUCACCAACAGAGAGUGUGAUAGGGAAGGGGGAUCCCUGUUACUCUUGGCCUUUCUACCCUCAUCCUAUACCUGAUGCAUCAAACCCAUAUUGAAGCCUUUGUUUUUUUUAUUGAUGUGUUAUAAUUAUACAUCAUAGUGGGAUUCGUUAUGCCAUAUUCACACAUGCACGUAACAUAAUUUGAUCAAUCUCAUUCCCUGUACCUUCCCUUUCCUUCCUCACUCUCUCCCCUGAACCGUUUGCUCUACUCUGCUGAUUUCCCUUCUAUUAUUUUUAUUUUAAUUAGUGCAUUUAAUAUAUUAAUUUAUAUAAUGAAUUAUAUUAUGUAUAGAAAUUAUAUACCACAUGUGUAUAUAAAUAUAUUUAUCGUUCAUUGUGAUAUAUUCAUACAUAGAGAGCAUAAUUUGGUACAUUUCAUUCCUCAGUCAUUCCUCAUCUCUUCCUUUCUCCCUCCCUCUUGAUCUCCUUCCUCUGCUCAGUUGGUCUUCUGAAGCUCGGUUUUAUCCUAUCAUCAGCUAGAAGGGUAGUGGGGGUGCCAUCCAUGCCUAGAUUUAAUUUCUGGGCCUUUUUGCCCACCUCCUGGGUUUUGCUUUGAGAAGUCACUGAUGGAAGUCAGACCUUUAGUUUUGUAGCAUCCUGUGAGCAGAUGCUGCUAUCCGUUCUCCAUCCCUCCCUUCUUCCUUUAGUAAUGGUAACCCUAAGCUUUAUCAGGAAACAUGGCCUUGAAGCUAAG